rnacentral:rRNA from 1 species
UACGAAGGGGGCUAGCGUUGCUCGGAAUCACUGGGCGUAAAGGGUGCGUAGGCGGGUCUUUAAGUCAGGGGUGAAAUCCUGGAGCUCAACUCCAGAACUGCCUUUGAUACUGAAGAUCUUGAGUUCGGGAGAGGUGAGUGGAACUGCGAGUGUAGAGGUGAAAUUCGUAGAUAUUGGGUGGAACACCGGUGGCGAAAGCGGCUCUCUGGCCCGGUUCUGACGCUGAGGCGCGAAAGCGUGGGGAGCAAACAGG